GACGAACGCUGGCGGUGUGCUUAACACAUGCAAGUCGAACGGUAAGGCCCUUUCGGGGGUACACGAGUGGCGAACGGGUGAGUAACACGUGAGUAACCUGCCCUCAUCUCUGGGAUAACAGUCGGAAACGGUUGCUAAUACUGGAUAUGAGCUUGCAAGGCAUCUUGUGGGUUGGAAAGAUUUUUUUUGGUUGGGGAUGGACUCGCGGCCUAUCAGCUUGUUGGUGAGGUAGUGGCUCACCAAGGCUUCGACGGGUAGCCGGCCUGAGAGGGCGACCGGCCACAUUGGGACUGAGAGACGGCCCAAACUCCUACGGGAGGCAGCAGUGGGGAAUAUUGCACAAUGGACGGAAGUCUGAUGCAGCAACGCCGCGUGCGGGAUGACGGCCUUCGGGUUGUAAACCGCUUUCAAUUGUGACGAAGCUUUUUUGUGACGGUAGCAGUAGAAGAAGCACCGGCUAACUACGUG
rnacentral:rRNA from 1 species